GAAGAGUUUUCUGGCAAAGAUGUGGUGUGCAAGAAAUAGGGAAUUGGAAGAUUUGUAAUGGAUACUGCUUGUGUUGUUUUGUUUAUUACAGGUUGUGCCGAUACGAAGGCAUGACUCUCCAACGGGUCACCUGUACAGCAAGAGCAAGAGCAAGACCGACAGCCCGCCUCGGCCCCUCAGCCCGCCCCAAAGCUCCCUCCAUGGCCUCCUGCAGGGCUUGAGGUGGUCAGGCUCCCCACAGUGCUGCCCCACGCAGUGCCAGGGCAGUGCCACACCUGUAAUCUGCGGCGCCAUGCCCGGUCUGAGGGCGCCGCUGGACUGGAGUUGCCGGAGCCAGUGUUGACGUCGGACAUGAUGCCACACUUUGAGGACGUAGCGAUCAUUCCUAACCCCGGGGAGCGCGCCGAGGCCAUGCGCCAGCUGAUCAACCGCCUGCCAACCGCCAACCGCCUGCUGCUACAAUACAUGUUCAAGCAUAUGGGACACAUCAUUGCAAGGCAUCUUGUCAGCCGUCCCAGCCUCUCGUCACCCUAUCCCCGCUGGACUCUGGGUAAAGACGUGACCAACCCCCAGCCUCCAGCCUCUUGUCACACCUCCUAGCCUUUCCCCGCUGGACAUUGCUUCGAGACGUGAUGAACAACAACAGCCUCCAGCAUUUGCCACACCUCCGAGCCUCUCUCCUCGUCAUUUGCCCGGUGGACCCUGGACGAGGAGGACGUGAGGACGAGGAGGUGAAGAUGAAGACGAGGAAUAAGUGAAACCACUACAUGCCUGAGAUGCCCCGCCCCGCCCCAACCCACCAUCAUGACCUGCCCGCCCCCCUGGCAUAAAUUGAAACUCCUAAAUGACUGACUCUUCGAUGUCUGAGACGACCCACCCUGCCCUGCGUCAUGACCUCCCAGCAUAAAUUGAAACCGUGCGCUGAAUGGGUGACUUUUCAAUACUGGAGGUCCACUCCCUGACGCCCCGCCCUGCCCCGCCCCGCACGUCAUGACCUGCCCCGGCGUCAGUUGGUAACGUGCAGGUCUCUCCCGUGCAUGCCAAUAGGUUCAGGUAAUGUGCCAUGGGACUUGUUUUUUCAGCUUUUUCUGUGUUCUCGUAGGGCGUGCGCGAGUGGCCUGUUCUGCUUCUUACGCAUUUUGGGGUUUCGUAUUGAUUUGUCGUGCGUUGUGUUAGGUUAUAUAUCGUGGUUGAUCCAAGUUACGUUUUCUGAACGUUAGGUCCGCCUGCAUCACCCUCAUAUUUCUCAGGUCGGUUCUAUAAAUCAGAAUAGGGAAGACAUAAGGAAGAGGGAAAAU